rnacentral:rRNA from 1 species
GAGACACGGUCCAGACUCCUACGGGAGGCAGCAGUGGGGAAUAUUGCACAAUGGGCGCAAGCCUGAUGCAGCCAUGCCGCGUGUAUGAAGAAGGCCUUCGGGUUGUAAAGUACUUUCAGUCGUGAGGAAGGCGGCGUCGUUAAUAGCGGCGUUGUUUGACGUUAGCGACAGAAGAAGCACCGGCUAACUCCGUGCCAGCAGCCGCGGUAAUACGGAGGGUGCGAGCGUUAAUCGGAAUUACUGGGCGUAAAGCGCAUGCAGGUGGUUUGUUAAGUCAGAU